CUUUUAACAGAACCCCAGGCAACUGGAGAACAAGUUGAAAGCCAAUACUCUGUUCACAGGCCCUGGUUUCUGCAGAGGCUUCCUUCUGUCAGGACACAGGUGACCUAUUUUACAGGGCUUUUACUAAACGUUGCCCCAGUUCCCUCCAAAAUUAAGUUCAACAAGAGCAAGGCCAUCUUUGGGAAGUCAAAGAGUUCAUGCCACACACCGAGAACCUUUGUGCAAGGAUGUGCCUGCUGAAGAAGUGCUGGUAGUUAUGUCUUUUUUCUCACAUGCUCUAGAUUGAACACAGGCUUAAAUAAAAGUUUUCAUUAAAAAAAAAGUUGUGAAAACUAGCAAGCCUUGAUUGCUAGGUAGGUUGCCAACCUCUUCUGGGUACAGCCACCAACCUUGAAUCUAGUGAAGACAUGGAGUAAAAAAGUCUUCUGACUUCCUGUCAAAAUAGC
ensembl:lncRNA